rnacentral:rRNA from 1 species
CCUACGGGCGGCAGCAGUGAGGAAUAUUGGUCAAUGGACGAGAGUCUGAACCAGCCAAGUAGCGUGAAGGAUGACUGCCCUAUGGGUUGUAAACUUCUUUUAUAUGGGAAUAAAAUGUUCCACGUGUGGGAUUUUGUAUGUACCAUAUGAAUUAGGAUCGGCUAACGACGUGCCAGCAGCCGCGGUAAUAUGGAGGGUCCGAGCGUUAUCUGGUUUUAUUGGGUUUAAAGGGAGCGUAGGUGGGUUGUUAAGUCAGUUGUGAAAGUUUGCGGCUCAAACGUAAAAUUGCAGUUGAAACUGGCAGUCUUGAGUACAGUAGAGGUGGGCGGAAUUCGAGGUGUAGCGGGGAAAUGCUGAGAUAUAACGAAGAACACCGAUUGCGAAGGCAGCUCACUGGACUGCAACUGACACUGAGGCUCGAAAGUGUGGGUAUCAAACAGGAUUAGAUACCCCUGUAGUC